GGUGUUAUUGACGAGUCAUAUUGCGAGGUGAGGAUUUGACUUCCCAUUUUGUGAAAAAAUUGUGAGAAUAUAUACCAUUUAUGAGAAACCAUCAAACCUUGUUUAGUCAAUUUGUUAAGACAAUCUAAUAUAGCUUCAACUUUUUGAUUGUAUCUUUGCUUGUCAAGUAUUUACAAAUGUUCUUGGUUCAUUAUUAUAGAGAGUAAUAUAAUUCUUCAGUUCUUUUAUGUUAUUUUAAAGUAUUGUUCUUACACAUAGUUAUGAUGUUGAAACGUCAUAUUUAGUUUUCGAGCACCAAAUAAUUCUGAAACUUUACUGUGAUACUUGAGUUCUUCUUCAUAUGUGGUAGUGGCAAACUGAGAAGACAUAGGUACACCUCUAGAAAAUGAAGAAGGUAUCGUUCAAUAUAAAAAGGACCCAUGCUGUUGUGUCGGACAAAGGAACAUGGCAUGUCCCUGAAAAACUUGGACAACGAUUUGCCUGAAGUAUGAAGAAGAUGUUACUUUAGAUGGAUAUCACUUUCAACUUGUAUGGUCUAUGUAAUGCUUCAUCAGUUCUCUUUCAAUUUCUCAUUGUGCCUCUCCCUUAGCAUAACAUACAUGGUUAAUUAUAAAUGCUUCACUUUUCUUUAAAGAUACACAGGAAAGGGACUAUGCGAACUCAUUAACACUCUUCAACAAGUAAACCUUGAAAUUCUUAGUAAAAAUUCUCUAAACACAUGGAUUUAAUAUUAGUGAAGAAGAAAGAUUUUAAGCUAAAAACUCGCUCAUAAUUUUUUUUCAGUAGGCAUCAAGUCGACUAAUCGUUGUGCAUUUUACACUUUCAAUUUCUUCGAGUUGAAGGUAUUAACAUUUUGUCUUUACUGAUUAUUUUAUGCUCUUAUUUGUUAUCCAUAAUGUAUUUAAGCUACAAAACUACAAAGAAUUUAUUUCUGCGUAAAUGACCUUAAGAUAACUCUGCUCUGCAAUAUUAAUUUCAGUCGUUGCUGUUUAAAAAUGUAGCAUGUUUUCUCCUAAAUGUCAUGCUUCAUCUCCAAUUAGUUUUUCCAGUAGGCAUCAAGUCAACUGAUCGAUGUGCAUUUUACGCUUAUUGAUAUCUUUGAGUUGAAGGUAUUAACACUUUGUCUUUGUUGAUUUCUUUAUGCCCCUAUCACAUUCUGCUUUCCACAUCUCAAUUGCAAAAGAGAUCAUGUGUAACAACUAACAUGUAAAAAAUCAUGUAGAAUAGACAGUUUUAUUUGUUCUUUGAUCACAUAUUUCAUAUUAAAAAUGAGAUUUGCUUCACAUUACCUUUCUUUGCUUAUUGUGUGUUUAAUUUCCUUAUGUAGAAUUACUUUUAUCUAUGAAAAAAAAUGAGUUUAUGUUGGCUACUCUUUGUCAAUAUGAAAACCAUUACUACUUGAAAUUUUUUAAUGUUAAAGGAAGUGGACUUUAUUAUUCGUAAUAGUGUCUACUCAUUUGGAGAAUGGUUACAUAUAGUGCAAGUCAACUACAUUCUAUAGACAGCGUGAGAUCUAUACUGUUGAGGCAUGUUAUCAUUUCAUAUUUGACUAUUAUUUUACUAUUCCUCGACCUUUGAGUUUUUUCACAUAUCAUAUACAUCUUAUCUUUGUCCUUCUGGUGUACAGUUGGUAAUAGUGAGAAUUAUUUAACCAAUCUUAUAUAAUCAAUUGACAUGAGAAUUGACAAUUCUUACCGAUUAAUAAAGGUUUGGAUACUCAUCUUGGAGGUGUCUUUUCACAGAAAUGUCUUGCUAAGGUGCACAAGUUGCAUAAACAUAGUGCAACUGAUAACACUAAAAAAACUUUGAUUGAAGUCCAACAAUAAUAUUUGGCCUUACACAGAGGUGGUGAAUUGAGUGCAUAACAUAUAGAAUCUGGAAAAUCAGUUCAACAUGGAACAUAUGAAAAAUUAAUGCAGCUUCUGGUGCAUACCAAUACUUCCAUUGUGAUCCUUUAUAUAACCUUAGAAAAAAGUAAAAUUAUAUGUUCUUUAAUUCCUUUUUGAUACCAAUUGUAGGUCUCUUGUACAUUUAAGUCUUUUUGAGAAAUACAUUUUAGUUGCAUUUGAAGUAGAAUUAUGAUUUGCGAAUUCAUAAAGUUAAAACAAUCAUAUGGUCAUGUUAGUUUGUUGAGCUUUAGUUAGUUAUCGAGAAUAUUGAGCAACUUCUAGAAUGAUUUUCGAUCAGUUCUCUUCAGGUAUGGAUAGGACAAAUUACACCAGUGUUUUUCUCAUGAACUGUAUUCUACCACGUUAUGAUAGUGAUUUCUAUAUUCUUAAAUCGAAUGAGUUGAACUAUAUACACUAAAAUUAUUCUCCAUGUUAUGAUAGUGAUUUCUGUAAUAUUGCAUAUAAUAUGUCGUGUUGUACUUGAGUACUUUAGUAUUUAUCUUUGGCAUAGAUGAACAAAUCAUGUUGUAUUCAUUUUCAUAAUAUAACUCAAUUGUGUCUCUUGAUCAGUUUUAGAGGUCUUGGAAUAUCUUUUUGAUUUUGAGCAGCUGCACCAAAACAGAUUAAAGAAGCUAUAAAGUUAGGUUGCCUAAACAAUGUUGAAGUGAAAAGUCAUUUGUAGUUUUUCGUUUCAAACAAUGUAUAGUACUAUUCUUUACCAAUUUUCAUGUCAAUUCAUAGCACUUGAAGUUUAGAUAUAUAGAUUGAAUGCUUCUUAAAUUGAAGAUAUACAGUCAUAGCUCUCAAUCUUGAGAUGCCCAAAUAUCGUUAUUUGUGUUGGAGUAUAUGUAUGCUUGAAUGUUAUAGUUUCUAGAAUCGCAUAAUAUUCAUCCAAAGAUGGAACUAAAGUAUAUUUGUGCGUACAACUUUGUCAUAUUCUAUUACAUACGUGGUUAAUUGGAAUUUGUAGAUAUAGUGAUUGUAGGAUUUGACUAAUAUCAGUCAAAUACGCAGGAAGUUAUAUGCAUUGUCUGUACACUAAAUCAUCCCUUUGAGCUAGCUGAAAAUUUUCAAAUAAAACUUUCACUACUCUGCAGCAACUGCAAUUUGUAAAUUCAUUUGGUUCUAUUUUCUAUUCUGUUACUACAG
rnacentral:lncRNA from 1 species